AAGAACGUAGCUCAGUGGUAGAGUGCAUGCUUAGCAUGCAUGAGGUCCUGGGCUCAAUCCCUAGUAUUUCCA
rnacentral:tRNA from 1 species